rnacentral:rRNA from 1 species
UGACCUACGGGGCGCAGCAGUGGGGGAUAUUGGACAAUGGGGGGAACCCUGAUCCAGCGACGCCGCGUGAGUGAAGAAGUAUUUCGGUAUGUAAAGCUCUGUCAGCAGGGAAGAAAGCAAUGACGGUACCUGACCAAGAAGCCCCGGCUAACUACGUGCCAGCAGCCGCGGUAAUACGUAGGGGGCGAGCGUUAUCCGGAUUUACUGGGUGUAAAGGGUGCGUAGGCGGCCCUGCAAGUCAGAAGUGAAAUCCAUGUGCUUAACCCGU